UACAGAGGGUGCGAGCGUUAAUCGGAUUUACUGGGCGUAAAGGGCGCGUAGGCGGUUGAGUGAGUGUGAUGUGAAAGCCCCGGGCUCAACCUGGGAAGUGCAUCGCAAACGACUCGACUGGAGUAGGUGAGAGGGUGGCGGAAUUUCCGGUGUAGCGGUGAAAUGCGUAGAGAUCGGAAGGAACGUCAAUGGCGAAGGCAGCCACCUGGCACCAUACUGACGCUGAGGCGCGAAAGCGUGGGGAGCGAACAGG
rnacentral:rRNA from 1 species